rnacentral:rRNA from 1 species
UACAGAGGUCUCAAGCGUUGUUCGGAUUCAUUGGGCGUAAAGGGUGUGUAGGUGGCGCCGUUAGUCGGGGUGUGAAAUUUCGGAGCUUAACUCCGAAACUGCAUUCGAUACUGCGGUGCUUGAGGACUGGAGAGGAGACUGGAAUUCAUGGUGUAGCAGUGAAAUGCGUAGAGAUCAUGAGGAAGACCAGUGGCGAAGGCGGGUCUCUGGACAGUUCCUGACACUGAGGCACGAAGGCCAGGGGAGCAAACGGG